rnacentral:rRNA from 1 species
CCUACGGGAGGCUGCAGUGAGGAAUAUUGGUCAAUGGACGAGAGUCUGAACCAGCCAAGUAGCGUGAAGGAUGACUGCCCUAUGGGUUGUAAACUUCUUUUAUAAAGGAAUAAAGCGAGGCACGUGUGCCUCUUUGCAUGUCCUUUAUGAAUAAGGAUCGGCUAACUCCGUGCCAGCAGCCGCGGUAAUACGGAGGAUCCGAGCGUUAUCCGGAUUUAUUGGGUUUAAAGGGAGCGUAGAUGGGUUGUUAAGUCAGUUGUGAAAGUUUGCGGCUCAACCGUAAAAUUGCAAUUGAUACUGGCAGUCUUGAGUACAGUUGAGGUAGGCGGAAUUCGUGGUGUAGCGGUGAAAUGCUUAGAUAUCACGAAGAACCCCGAUUGCGAAGGCAGCUUACUAAACUGUGACUGACAUUGAUGCUCGAAAGUGUGGGUAUCAAACAGGAUUAGAUACCCGUGUAGUC